CCUACGGGGGGCAGCAGUGAGGAAUAUUGGUCAAUGGACGAGAGUCUGAACCAGCCAAGUAGCGUGAAGGAUGACUGCCCUAUGGGUUGUAAACUUCUUUUAUAGAGGAAUAAAACGAGGCACGUGUGCCUGUUUGCAUGUACUUUAUGAAUAAGGAUCGGCUAACUCCGUGCCAGCAGCCGCGGUAAUACGGAGGAUCCGAGCGUUAUCCGGAUUUAUUGGGUUUAAAGGGAGCGUAGAUGGGUUGUUAAGUCAGUUGUGAAAGUUUGCGGCUCAACCGUAAAAUUGCCAUUGAAACUGGCAGUCUUGAGUACAGUUGAGGUAGGCGGAAUUCGUGGUGUAGCGGUGAAAUGCUUAGAUAUCACGAAGAACCCCGAUUGCGAAGGCAGCUUACUAAACUGUGACUGACAUUGAUGCUCGAAAGUGUGGGUAUCAAACAGGAUUAGAUACCCCAGUAGUC
rnacentral:rRNA from 1 species